GGAUUAUUCUAAGAUCAAAUUAAUAAACAAAUAAAAUGAAGACUAAAAUUCUAUCCCAUCUUACGAAAUUCUACCACACCAAAUAAACAAAGUCAAUAUCAAAAACCCAAUUGAAAAUUCAUAUUCAAGUAUUAUGUACAUGAAAUUUUCUAUAAGAAAACCCUAGUUUUGGAGCACCAAGCGUUUGGCACAAACAGAGCAAUAGUACCUCCUCUUGGUCUUGAAGUAUAGAGGCAAGAAACAGAACCUCCACUGGCUUUCUACAUCCAUGGCCUGAAUCAUCCCUCCACAGUAAGGACACGCUCCAGGCGCUACCUGUCUCCCUAUCACCCUCUCAUCUUCAUCGCAAACAAACACUAAACACAUCUCUGAUAUUUCCCCUUGAUUUCUUGACUUGUUGCACAACCUCCACUCAGAUCACAAAAUCAACACACCUCUCGACGAUCGCUGACUCAAUUGCUUGAUUUCUUGCUCGCCCUCAGAUAAGAGGAUCAAUUCGCUAAGAAGGUUAUUUGGGUAUUUAUAGAGAGAGAAAGAGUCUAGAGAGGUAUAGCUUAAACUGGAAGGAAGAAGGAACAAGACAA
rnacentral:misc_RNA from 1 species